GAUGAACGCUGGCGGCGUGCCUAAUACAUGCAAGUCGAGCGAACGGACGAGAAGCUUGCUUCUCUGAUGUUAGCGGCGGACGGGUGAGUAACACGUGGAUAACCUACCUAUAAGACUGGGAUAACUUCGGGAAACCGGAGCUAAUACCGGAUGAUAUUUUGAACCGCAUGGUUCAAAAGUGAAAGACGGUCUUGGUGUCACUUAUAGAUGGAUCCGGGCUGCAUUAGAUAGUUGGUAAGGUAACGGCUUACCAGGGCGACGAGGCAUAGCCGACCGGAGAGGGUGGUCGGCCACCCUGGAGCUGGACCAGGGUCCUGGCGCCUGCGAGAGGCACCAGUGUGGAAUGUUCCGCAACGGUGGAAAGCCUUGCGCAGCAAGCCCGAGUGUGUGACGAAGGCGUUGGGUGCGGAAAACUCGGUUAUGAGGGAAGAACAGAUGUGGAAGUAGAUGUACCCUUCUUGACGGUACCUAAUCAAAAAGCAACGGCUAACUACGUG
rnacentral:rRNA from 1 species